rnacentral:lncRNA from 1 species
AAACAUUAAAAUAAAAUAUAGACUAAAUUUGAGUUUGCGGGAAACUCUUUUCGUAUUAUUCCCUCUCUCGUAAGUGAAAACGCACGUCUCCACCUCACUUCAGUAUUUCAUUUCCCACGCUCUGGUUUCACACUUUGAGCCUAAGCGCCUUCUUCUUCCCAAAUUCCAGCGCCUUCUUCUGCCCAAAUUUCAUCACCUUCUUCAACUUUCUGCGUGCAUUCUUCUUCACAAAUUCUGGACUUGGCUGGUGUGCGUUGGAAACCCUAGGGCAAACGAAGUUCUUCGCGAUAAGGAGGUAGAGGGUUUCGAUGAAAUCGGUGACCACUGGAGCCAAACGAAGUUGUUCGUGGUGAGGAGGUAAAGUGUUUGCCAUUUGCGGUGAAACCUGAAGGUUUGUGAUUUCUUUGACUCGCUGUUUGUUUUUUUACCCAAAUUUUUUUUCUGCCUCUUUACCUAUUUGCAUACUUAGUUUUAGUCUUAAAUUUAUGAAUCAAUGUGCGUAUUCUGGAUGGGUGCCAAUUCUGUUUCUUAGGGUUUGUACUGGGCAUAUUAGGACCGUUAAAAUAGUGUUGAUUGUUUGUGCCUGGGAUGGAAUUGCUAGUGCCAAUCAUGCUCUUAAGGAAAGAGCAUUCUUAGUCAAUGAUUGUCUUGAGCUUCUACCUUUGCACUCAUCCCUUGUGAUGCCUUGUAUCAAUGAGCAACAGUUUGAAGGUACUUAAGGAACAAAAUGAUGCUAAACUUGGCUUGGCAGCGCUAUUAGUUAGAAAUUCAUAAAAGAGAUUAAGGUGUGAACGAGUGCAAAGGGACAUGUUAUAGCUUCCAAGACUUAUUGAUUUUUUCCUGAUUGAUUUUGGCAUGUGAAAUCUUCAAACCUUGGUAGGUGCCAUUGCUAUUGUUGCACAAUAAAAGUUGCAUAUUUGUGCCUAGCUACUGCAUAUUAGAUAGAAUCUGUUUUUGGGUAAUUUGUUUGUGAGAGAUUUUUAUUUGUAUCUUAGGUGGAAAAUCUGCACUUUGGCCUUUGUUAUUGGCUAAUGUAGAUUGACUUGAUUUUCUUUGUAAAAGGGUUAAGACACCCUUAAGUGUCUUAGAAACAGAAUACCAUUACCUGUUAAUAAUUAUUCACAAUCUACUACAUUCAAAGUUCACUUCAAUCAAGCAUAAGAAAUAGCAUGAUACGAAUUUGAAUAGUUCAGUGACAGGAACACAAACUUUAAUUUAUAAAACUGUGUAUAAAAUUAAGGACUUGUGUAUGGUUUUAAAUUGUGGUUGUAAUUUAGUCACAAAUCAUUAAUACGACAGCAAAUUGUGGAAAACAUUGUGGAUGAGGUCACAGUUACCGUCAGAAAAAUAGUUGCAGUAAAUUGAAAAUCUUUUACCUCAUAGUCAAAGUAAAGAUUUGGUUUGUUUCUAAUAAAGGUCGAUUUUGUGAUUCACACUGCAGAUAAAUAACUUCCAUUCUGUACAUUUUGAAUAUUUCUUUAAAUAAUGAUAAUAAAAAUAAAACUCCAAUUUGAUGGAAGAACAACAUCAACCACACAUAGGUUUUCUCCUACAAUGUAGUAAUGUAUUGUUUCACUCAUAAUUAUAGUUACAUGUUGAUAAGUAAGGUGUGGAUGUUGAGAAAGAUAGAUGAUAUAAGGAGCAAGCAGAGAUUUGAGAGCCUAGAUAUGCAUAAAUUACAUAUUAUGUAAUCUUGGUUGUAAAAACAAAUAUAUUUUGUCAUCUUAACUUGAUAAUAACCUUUUGUGAAUGUUAUUGUUUUAUCAAUUGAAUGGAACAACAUAUUCAUAAUAACUUAAGAAAUUACAAAGUUCAGCAAAUAAAUUGCUACAAUCUGUCCAAGUACAACUUGCAUUUUGGUUAAAUUUUGUCUUUAACUACCACUUAUGUGUUUGUUUAUCUUAAUUCACAGUUUUAAACCAGUGGAAAGGGCCAAUUCAAAUAAUUCAUAUAUAGUUGUAGUUGGUAAGAAGGUGAGAAAUAGGUAUAUUUUCAACAGCCAAGGUUUCUACACAAGAAAAUGCAAGUUGGGAGGUGAAACUUCAAUUCCAAAUCCAUUAAGGUUCAAACUAUUACAUUUAUUAUGUUUUUAUUUAUUUAUUUAAAAAAUGUUACAUGUAGAAAACUCCAUUUUUGAAGCAUUGUAUAUACCUUGUAAGUGUGUCUGCAUAUAUGCAAUGUUGCAUAACUGUAUCUCCUGAAACCACAUAGCAAAAUCUAAAACCAUAUAGGCAUAUGCUAAUGCUCUAAAAGAGACAAUGGGUAAAAUAAUGAAUAGUAUGAGUGGGAUGAGAGGUUAUGAUUAAGUGAAGGAAAGGUCCAAGGUGUGUGGAUAGGGAAGUUAGGUCACGUGUAUCCUUACAAAACUUUUCUAAGACAGCAACUGGUUUUCUUAAAAAUAAAAUUGUACUCAUCACUAACCCCAUAGGCAAAGACUAUAUUCUUACAAAACUUUUCUAAGACAAAAACUGCACACAAAUUCAUAAGGGCUCUAUCAUCAUUUGGCUUCACAAAUUCAUGUAUAUAUAUGUAUGUAUAUAUAUAUAUAUUAAUUAUAUGUGUAUUCAUGGUGGCGUCUCGUGAGGUGCUUUGCCUUUAAGGGGACUAGUGUGUCACAUCCCACAUGAUGGCCUAAUGCCAAAAUCUAGUUAUAUAUUUAUGCAGGAACCAAACUCUAAGACCAAUCAUUAUUGAUCUUUCCCUUGACUUGUGGUUGAAAUAUGAGUUAGCAUUGACCACUCAAAUUUGAUGAUUCCCUUUUAAUUUUAAAUUGUUUACUGGUAUGUCUCAGUCUACUUCAUUCACAUAAAUAAUAACAUUUCAUCUUAUAUGAAUUAAAUUUUAUUUUACUUUUUGUGAUUUUUUCCAUUUUUCAAAUGCAGAUAUUUCUUUGAGGUUUGAAAGUAGAGUGCAGGUACAAUUCUGUUUAUUGCAAUUUAUUUUAUUGCAAUUUUGGUCUCCAUUUUAUUCAUUUGUAUGUGAUCUUGGUCUGUGUUUCUUUUAUUAUUUUAGUCUUUAAUUUUUUUUAUGAAUUUCGUCUUAAUUUUGCAUAAUUUUUUGGUUAGUACUCUUUGGAUGAUUGUCAAAGUUGAACUUGCAGUUUUGGGCCAAAAGUGAAGUUGGACUUACAUAUUGCAGAGGAGAGAUUUCUUUUUGCACUCUUAUGCUUUCCUCCUAUACUCCAGAGGGAUUUCUUUUUGCACUCCUAUGCUUUCCUCCUACAUCAAAGUGUAAUGGAUUUGAUUAAGACAUGUUAUUAAUUAUUUAUACAAUUAUAUUUUGGUAGUUGUUUUAUUUAUUUUGUUUGAAUUAGAUUUAAUUAGUAUAUAUUUAUGUAUUUUUUGCGGCUUGAAGGCAAUGAAGACUACGAAGACAAUCUUGAAGAAGAAUGAACUUAUUGAUAUGUAGUAAAUAAACAAUAGACUAUGUUUUUUAACUAUGUUAGUUGUUUUAACUUUGAAGACAUGAUUAUUAUCAAUAUACUUUAAGAAAGUUUUUGAUUAUGUAGUUGGAACACAUCUAUUUAAAUAUAUGGG